rnacentral:rRNA from 1 species
CAAGUCGAACGCAGUAGCAAUACCGAGUGGCAGACGGGUGAGUAACAUGUGGGAAUCUGCCUUGUGGUUCAGGACAACAUUGGGAAACCGAUGCUAAUACUGGAUAAGCCCUUACGGGGAAAGUUUUAAUGCCAUAAGAUGAGCCCGCAUUUGAUUAGUUAGUUGGUGAGGUAAUGGCUCACCAAGACAAUGAUCAAUAGCUGAUCUGAGAGGAUGAUCAGCCACACUGGGACUGAGACACGGCCCAGACUCCUACGGGAGGCAGCAGUGGGGAAUCUUGCACAAUGGAGGAAACUCUGAUGCAGCGAUGCCGCGUGAGUGAAGAAGGCCUUUGGGUUGUAAAGCUCUUUUGUAGGGGAAGAUAAUGACUGUACCCUAAGAAUAAGGUCCGGCUAACUUCGUGCCAGCAGCCGCGGUAAUACGAAGGGACCUAGCGUAGUUCGGAAUUACUGGGCGUAAAGCGCGUGUAGGCCGUUGAGUUAGUUAAUUGUGAAAUCCCAAAGCUUAACUUUGGAACUGCAAUUAAAACUGCUCGACUAGAGUUUGACAGAGGAAAGCGGAAUACAUAGUGUAGAGGUGAAAUUCGUAGAUAUUAUGUAGAACACCAGUUGCGAAGGCGGCUUUCUGGAUCAACACUGACGCUGAGGCGCGAAAGUAUGGGUAGCAAAGAGGAUUAGAUACCCUCGUAGUCCAUACCAUAAACGAUGAUUGCUAGAUGUUGGAAAUUUAUUUUCAGUAUCGCAGCUAACGCAUUAAGCAAUCCGCCUGGGGAGUACGACCGCAAGGUUAAAACUCAAAUGAAUUGACGG